AUAAAAGCAAACAGGCUCUGUUGAGUCACUGUUCACAUGUCACAGCUCCACAAAUCAUGGUUUCCGCUGCAUUCAUCCUGUGGGGUGUAAUUGAAGGAUCCACAGAAGAGGCUGUUACUUGUCCUGUCAUCAGUCUGCUGAAUAUCCUGCUGUUGAUCAAUAUAGCUCCAUAUCGGAAAUCAAUCACAGUUUCAUGGCAGAAUAUUAUCCUCAACAUUCUGAAAACUGCAUUUCCCAUCAUUAUGGUUGGCGUCCUAACAGGUAAGUUUAAGUGUAACUAAUGGAUAUGAAUCAUUAAAGUAAAGCAGGAUAAAGCAGCAGCUCCUGGUAAAAUAUUAAACACACUGUGGUGCAUCUUUGAAGAUGCCAAACAUACUUCAGUGUUUUAGCACAAACUGCUCAUUUUUCAUCUCAUUACUGUACAGAUUUUAGGUGAUUUUGUCAC